GCAUUCCUUGUUUCCACGUCACAGACUCACACCGCUGUACAUGCACAGCAUACAGCACUGCAGUGACGUGCAGUGAGGUUCAUGAUUGGUGAGGCACUGACUACGUCACAGUCAGCUUCACAGCCCUCCUUCAGAGAUCUUGGUGAAAAGUGUUGAUGGCGAUUCCC